GUUUGGAAAUAAGGUGGUGGCCAAUGUGGCCUGUGACAUCUUUCAGCUACUGAUUUCUCACUGGCAGCACUUACAGAGACUGGAUCCGUCCCUUCCCCAAAGAAUUAUAGAGAUUUUUGUAGCAACCAUAGCCUUUCUUCUGCCCAGUGCUGAACACUCAACAGUUGAGGCAGAUAAAAAGUUAAUGGUGUCUCUACUGCUGUGCCUGCUGGACUGGUGCAUGGCCGUACCUCUCUCCAUCCUGCUGGAGCCCAUCACUAUGCCUGUGCUGGAUGACCCCGCAUCGCAGAAAGCCCCUCUACUCGACUACAUUUAC